AGUGAACGCUGGCGGUAGGCCUAACACAUGCAAGUCGAACGGCAGCACAGUAAGAGCUUGCUCUUACGGGUGGCGAGUGGCGGACGGGUGAGGAAUACAUCGGAAUCUACUUUUUCGUGGGGGAUAACGUAGGGAAACUUACGCUAAUACCGCAUACGACCUACGGGUGAAAGCAGGGGAUCUUCGGACCUUGCGCGAUUGAAUGAGCCGAUGUCGGAUUAGCUAGUUGGCGGGGUAAAGGCCCAUCAAGGCGACGAUCCGUAGCUGGUCUGAGAGGAUGAUCAGCCACACUGGAACUGAGACACGGUCCAGACUCCUACGGGAGGCAGCAGUGGGGAAUAUUGGACAAUGGGCGCAAGCCUGAUCCAGCCAUACCGCGUGGGUGAAGAAGGCCUUCGGGUUGUAAAGCCCUUUUGUUGGGAAAGAAAAGCAGCAGGUUAAUACCCCGCUGUUCUGGCGGUACCCAAAGAAUAAGCACCGGCUAACUUCGUG
rnacentral:rRNA from 1 species